rnacentral:sRNA from 1 species
UUGGAUUACAUUUACUAACGUGUGAACC